rnacentral:rRNA from 1 species
GCUUGUCUCAUAGAUUUAGCCAUGCAUGUGUAAGUGAAACUUGAAAAAGUGAAACCGCGAAUGGCUCAUUAAAUCAGUUACUAUCCAUUUGUUUAGUUACCAGUUAUAUGAAUAACUGCGGUAACCCUGCAGCUAAUGCAUGCAGAUUGCUCGAUCUUGCUGAGUGCGGACGAGAACUUUUACAAGAAUUCGCCGGGUGACUUCGAUUGAAUGGACAUGCCGGAUGAAUCCAAGUAACUGAAAGAUCCCAGACGCCAAAUUGGCUGGGGACGAAACUUACGAGUUUCUGACCUAUCAACCUAAGACGGUAAGGUAACGGCUUACCGUGGUUGUGACGGGUAACGGGGAAUCAGGGUUCGAUUCCGGAGAAGGAGCCUUAGAAACGGCUACUACAUCCAAGGAAGGCAGCAGGCACGCAAAUUACCCACUCUCGGAACGAGGAGGUAGUGACGAAAAAUAACCAUAUGAACCCUUGUGGUUUGUAAUGGGAAUGGAAGUGAUGCAAAAGCUCACUUGAUGAACUAGUGGAGGGCAAGUCUGGUGCCAGCAGCCGCGGUAAUACCAGCCUCCACAAGCGUAUGCAAAAGUUGCUGCGUUUAAAAAGCUCAUAGUUGGAUCUGUUUGAGUGCUACGGAGAAAACAAUAUAGAGGCUACGGCUGAAAUAUUGCGUACUGCUCAUCCUUCGCAUCGAUUAGUCAGUUUGCACUUAAUUGUGUCGAACUGACAAAUUGGUGUUUUCACUUUGAGUAAAUUAGAGUGUUCAAAGCAUCCUUUGGGAUUGCAUAAUAAAGCAUGGAAUAAUGGAGAAUGACCUGCAUAUUGUUGUGCCGGUGGCUUGAUAUGCGGUAAUGAUUGAAAGGAACAGACGGGGGCAUUUGUAUUGCUACGUUAGAGGUGAAAUUCUUGGAUCGUAGCAAGACAAACUACUGCGAAAGCAUUUGCCAAGAAUGUUUUCAUUAAUCAAGAACGAAAGUUAGAGUAUUAAAGAGGAUUAGAUACCCUCGUAAUUCUAACCAUAAACUAUACCUGCUUACGAUUUGUCAAAGUCCUAUUCGACUUGACAAGGAAUUAACCGGGAAACCAAAGUUCUUUGGUUCCGGGGGAAGUAUGGUUGCAAAAUCGAAACUUAAAGGAAUUGACGGAAGGGCACCACCAGGAGUGGAGCCUGCGGCUUAAUUUGACUCAACACGGGAAAGCUCACCCGGUCCAGACAUUUUAAGGAUUGACAGAUUGAUUAUCUUUCAUGAUUAUAUGGGCGGUGGUGCAUGGCCGUUCUUAGUUAGUGGAGUGAUCUGUCUGGUUAAUUCCGAUAACGAACGAGAUCUCAUCCAUCUAACUAGUUAUUAUCACUUUAUGUGGUAAAGAACUUCUUAGAGGAACUAUGUGGAAUUAAAUACCACAAGUGAAGUGAGGCUAUAACAGGUCUGUGAUGCCCUUAGAUGUUCUGGACUGCACGCGCGCUACACUGAACUAUGUUAAAUUGAGCUGCCAACCUUGGCCUAUAUGGUCCGGGUAAUCAACUAAAAUAGUUGGAUUGUUCAGGGGAUCGACUAUUGUAAUUUGUAGUCGUGAACCAGGAAUUCCUCGUAAUCUGGAUUCAACAAAUCCAAGUGAUUACGUCCCUGCCCUUUGUACACACCGCCCGUCGCUACUACUGAUUGGAUGAUUAAGCAAGAACCUCGAACUCUCUAUGCUGAUACUUCGGUUGACGCACUGAGCUGAAGAGGAUCAAGCUUAUUUGUCUAGAGGAAGUAAAAGUCGUAACAAGGA